CACCAGACUCCUACGGGAGGCAGCAGUGGGGGAUAUUGCACAAUGGGGGGAACCCUGAUGCAGCGACGCCGCGUGGGUGAAGGAGUGCUUCGGCAUGUAAAGCCCUAUCGGCAGGGAAGAAGCAAGACGGUACCUGACUAAGAAGCCCCGACUAACUACGUGCCAGCAGCCGCGGUAAUACGUAGGGGGCAAGCGUUAUCCGGAUUUACUGGGUGUAAAGGGGGCGCAGACGGCAAUGCAAGCCAGGAGUGAAAGCCCGGGGCCCAACCCCGGGACUGCUCUUGGAACUGCAUGGCUGGAGUACAGGAGGGGCAGGCGGAAUUCCUAGUGUAGCGGUGAAAUGCGUAGAUAUACGGAGGAACACCAGUGGCGAAGGCGGCCUGCUGGACAUUAACUGACGCUGAGGCGCGAAAGCGUGGGGAGCAAACAGGAUUAGAUACCCCCGUA
rnacentral:rRNA from 1 species